UCUCUCUCUCUCUCUCUCUCUCUCUAGUGCAGUUCUGCAGGCAUUGCGAGAGCUCAACAAUGGAGGAAGUGGACGGGACCGAAGCCGCACCUCAGGUUUAUAUGGCAUGCAUUCUCCAGGGUAAUCGCAUUGGAGUUUCUUACUAUGAUUCCAACAUUCGCCAACUUCAUGUGCUGGAGGUAUGGGAAGAUGGAAGUCCAGAUUUUCCCCUAAUUGAACUUGUGAAAUAUCAAGCAACGCCUCUCUUCAUUUAUACCAGUACUAAAAGUGAAGAGUCUUUAAUAUCUGCUUUACAAAGAAGUGAUGGUACAGCUGAGGCUCCUACAGUGAAGCUUGUAAAAAGUUCAGUAUUCAGCUACGAGCAAGCAUGGCACAGAUUGAUGUACCUUCGAGUAACAGGAAUGGACGAUGGUUUGAGCAUUAAGGAGAGAAUCUCUUAUUUAAGUUCCAUGAUGGACAUGGGAAGUGAACUUGAAGUUCGUGCAAGUGGAGGACUUCUUGCCAUUUUGGAGAAUGAAAGAAUUGUCGAUACACUUGAGCAGAUGGAAUCUGGGAAUUCAUCAAUCACCAUUGACUCUGUCAUUCAGAUUUCACUAAACAAUUUUCUCAAACUAGAUGCAGCUGCCCAUGAAGCAUUGCAGAUAUUUCAAAUAGACAAACAUCCAAGCCACAUGGGCAUCGGUAGAGCAAAGGAAGGGUUCUCGGUUUUUGGCAUGAUGAACAAGUGUGUGACACCAAUCGGUAGACGGCUCUUGAGAAGUUGGUUCCUGCGACCUAUAGUUGACCUUGAGCAUUUGAAUAAUCGUCUGAAUGCUAUUUCAUUUUUCCUUAGCUCUGAGGAACUGAUGGAUUCUUUGCGUGAAACUCUAAAGUCAGUAAAGGACAUUCCAUUUAUUCUCAAGAAAUUCAACUCCCCAAGCUCCAUAUGUACCAGCAGUGAUUGGUCUGCUUUCCUGAAGAGUGUUUCUUCUCUCUUGCAUUUGAACAAGAUACUUGAGGUAGGUAUAUCCGAAGGCCUAGAUGAGCAAAUGAAGUACUUGAGCACAGACAUUCUUGAAAAGGCUAGUUCAUGCAUCACAACCGAGCUGGCUUAUGUUUAUGAAUUGGUAAUUGGGGUCAUUGAUAUCAGCAGAAUUAAGGAGAAAGGUUAUGAGACAAUGGUGAAAGAGAGUUUCUGUGAUGAGUUGGACGAGCUAAGGCAAAUUUACGAGGAACUGCCUGAAUUUUUGGAGGAGGUGACAUCUCUGGAGCUUGCGCAUUUUCCUGACGUUUUUAAGGACAAACAUCUUCCAUGUAUUGUCUAUAUUCAACAAGUAGGGUACUUGAUGUGCAUUCUUGAAGAGAAACUUGAUGAAAUGACCUUAGCAAGGCUUGAAGAUUUUGAAUAUGUUUUCUCUGACAAUGAUGGAGAGAUGAUGAGGUUCUUCUACCGUACCACAAAGACAAGAGAACUGGAUGACCUUCUCGGGGAUCUUCAUCAUAAAAUCUUAGACAUGGAGAGGGCAAUCAUCAGAGACUUGAUUUUACACAUACUGACAUUCUCAGCUCAUCUGCUUGAAGCUGUGAAUUUUGCUGCUGAAGUAGAUUGCUUCUUGUCAUUGGCACUGGUGGCUCGUCAGAACAAUUACGUCAGACCUACACUCACAGAAGAAACCUUGCUUGACAUACAAAAUGGAAGACAUGUUUUGCAGGAGAUGACAGUGGACACUUUCAUUCCAAAUGAUACAAAAAUUUUCAAUGACGGGCGCAUUAAUAUCAUCACUGGUCCUAACUAUUCAGGGAAAAGCAUCUAUGUCAAGCAGGUUGCUCUUAUUGUUUUUCUUUCUCACAUUGGAAGUUUUGUGCCUGCUGAAUCAGCAACUGUGGGUUUGACAGAUAGAAUAUUUUGUGCAAUGGGAAGCAAGCUUAUGACUGCGGAACAAUCAACAUUCAUGAUUGAUCUCCAUCAAGUAGGAAUGAUGCUAAGGCAGGCAACUUCAAAAUCAUUAUGUCUGUUAGAUGAAUUUGGAAAAGGCACUCUAAAUGAAGAUGGGGUUGGUUUGCUUGGCGGAGCAAUCAAUCAUUUUGUCACGUGGGACGAACCACCAAAAGUUCUAGUCUGCACUCACUUGACUGAGCUGCUUUCUGAGAAUUUUUUACCAAAGUGUGAGCAGAUCAAGUUUUACACUAUGAGCGUUCUAAGGUCCAAGGACAACAGUGCAGACGUUGAAGACCUUGUUUUUCUAUAUCGCCUUGUUCCAGGACACACUCUUCUUAGCUAUGGGCUUCAUUGUGCUCUCCUGGCUGGUACAUCCGAAUAUCUAUUGGCAAUCUUAUCCUGUGGUGUGGGAUAUUUAAUUAUGUCCCAUAGGAGGGGGUCUUCCAAAAGAAGUUAUUAGAAGAGCUGCCCUGCUGCAAGAAGUUAAGGGGAAUAACCAGCCUGUUGAUCGACUGUGCAAUGAAAACAUAUCAGCACAAGAUCAGCGGUACAAGAAGGCGGUAGACAAGAUGCUGGCAUUCGAUUCCCAAGACGGUGAUCUCAAAUCGUUCUUCGAAGACAUAUUUCCUUCAUAAUCCUAAUUUUCCUUUCAUCAUUAAUUAGAGUUAUCUCUAGUUUGCAUGACUGGACUAGUAAAAGACGUCUCCUGUUGAUGUCCACUAAAUCUCUCAUCUCCCGCCCUCUCGACAGUUUAAGUAGAGAGACCAUGAAAAUUGAGGAAGUGUAAGUGGCCCUCCCAUCUACUGAUCAUCGUCCACUGAAGUCGCGACAUUUUCUGUUC